rnacentral:rRNA from 1 species
AGCGAACGCUGGCGGCAGGCCUAACACAUGCAAGUCGAACGAACCUUUCGGGGUUAGUGGCGGACGGGUGAGUAACACGUGGGAACGUGCCUUUAGGUUCGGAACAACUCAGGGAAACUUGUGCUAAUACCGAAUGUGCCCUUCGGGGGAAGGAUUUAUCGCCUUUAGAGCGGCCCGCGUCUGAUUAGCUAGUUGGUUGAGGUAAUGGCGCACCAAGGCGAGGAUCAGUAGCUGGUCUGAGAGGAGGAUCAGCCACAUUGGGACUGGGACACGGCCCAAACUCCUACGGGAGGCAGCAGUGGGGAAUCUUGCGCAAUGAGCGAAAGCCUGACGCAGCCAUGCCGCGUGAAUGAUGAAGGUCUUAGGAUUGUAAAAUUCUUUCACCGGGGACGAUAAUGACGGUACCCGGAGAAGAAGCCCCGGCUAACUUCGU